rnacentral:pre_miRNA from 1 species
CACCUCCGCAGACUGGCCAGCUUCCAAGCUGGGCGGGGCGAGUAUCUCUUUGAAAAGCUCACCCUCAAAUGCAACUAGGAGC